rnacentral:lncRNA from 1 species
AGCAAGUGGAGGUGAUGACCUGAACCUCUUUGCACUCAUCUGAACUACCUUAAACCCAAGGUCCUCCAAGAUUACUGGGCUGAUCAUCCACCUGGGUUAUCCACUUCUCAUCUAACUCUUACCUGUGGCUCUAAGAAGCUGUAGAAUAAGCAGUGGUCACACCCUGGUAAACCUGUCUUGGCAGAUAAAGAAACUGAGACCCAGAGAAAUUAACUGAAGAGGGACUGAUGGUGAGUUUCUGCAGACUGCAAACUCCAAUGUAAAUUCCUCUUAGCUGAGUAUAGUGGGUGAUAGCCAUGGAUGUGCUGAAGCUAGUUUGUACUGGCAUUCCAGAGCUAAUUGUUAAAUUUUCAGUGUGAGCAUCUAUAAAUCAGAACUUGAUUUAUGGCUUUGUUGAUUGUCUAGACUUAAGAAAGUGAUGGAGAAAAUGUUAAUAAUGCAG